GCGGCGGACGGGUUAGUAACGCGUGGGAAUAUACCCUUUGGUACGGAAUAGCCUCUGGAAACGGAGAGUAAUACCGUAUGAGCCCUUCGGGGGAAAGAUUUAUCGCCAAAGGAUUAGCCCGCGUUAGAUUAGGUAGUUGGUGGGGUAAUGGCCUACCAAGCCUACGAUCUAUAGCUGGUUUUAGAGGAUGAUCAGCAACACUGGGACUGAGACACGGCCCAGACUCCUACGGGAGGCAGCAGUGGGGAAUCUUGGACAAUGGGGGCAACCCUGAUCCAGCCAUGCCGCGUGAGUGAUGAAGGCCUUAGGGUCGUAAAGCUCUUUCGCCUGUGAAGAUAAUGACGGUAGCAGGUAAAGAAACCCCGGCUAACUCCGUGCCAGCAGCCGCGGUAAUACGGAGGGGGUUAGCGUUGUUCGGAAUUACUGGGCGUAAAGCGCACGUAGGCGGACUGGAAAGUUGGGGGUGAAAUCCCAGGGCUCAACCCUGGAACUGCCUCCAAAACUAUCAGUCUAGAGUUCGAGAGAGGUGAGUGGAAUUCCAA
rnacentral:rRNA from 1 species